rnacentral:lncRNA from 1 species
CGCGGACGGAGGCGGGCGGUCUGCUAGGUGACGUCCUUCGCGUACUCCUUUCCGAAGACGUGGAGAGGCGGUCCUCCUCGCCGGGCUCCCCGGGUCUCUCGGUUCUCCUGGGGAACCCUCGCUCUUGACGCCGAGAGACCUACAGCCAAUUCCAGCGGACGGUGUGAGCGUCCUGCCCGCCAUCGGCCGUCAGAGCCACACGGAACAGGCACCCUGGUGGGACCGGGUCCCGGAGCCCUCCGCGCCGGGCCGAGAACCGACCACCGCGUCUGCGCAGCGGGCUGUGGAGAAGCUGCGGGAGCGGCCGGGGCGGCCUCGGUCCUCAGGGUACGCAGCCCCGCCGGCUCCGCGCCCUCCGAGCGAUCCGCCUCCCGAGCCAUCCCCGGAGCCCGUCCUGUCUCGUUGGAAAUUGAAGCCGUUAGUGUCUUAACUCAAAGUACUGGAGAUUGAACUAAGGACCUUGUGCUUGUGAGGCAGGCUCCUAGGGCAGAGAAGCUCAGCCGGUCCCAGCACCCGGAAGGAAG